UACAGAGGUCUCAAGCGUUGUUCGGAUUCAUUGGGCGUAAAGGGUGCGUAGGCGGCGGGGCAAGUCAGGUGUGAAAUCUCGGGGCUCAACCCCGAAACUGCACUUGAUACUGCCUUGCUAGAGCUCUGGAGAGGAGAUUGGAAUUUACGGUGUAGCAGUGAAAUGCGUAGAUAUCGUAAGGAAGACCAGUGGCGAAGGCGAAUCUCUGGACAGCAGCUGACGCUGAGGCAUGAAGGCCAGGGGAGCAAACGGG
rnacentral:rRNA from 1 species